GAGAGGAUAUCUGUCGGCCACCAGAGGGAAAAUGUGUUGUGGCUGCUAGAUAUUGGCUUUUGCUGCUGCGCUGCUUAGCCUGCGUACUACAGUAUCUCAGCCUGCAGCUGUGGAGCAGAGCAGCACAGAAUAGACCAGAACAGAACAGGAUACGCUACAGCUUUAACACACUGAAGGAAAGAGGAGGAGGAACACGAGAACACCUUCACAGCGCCAGCUCCACAGCGCCAGCUCCACAGCGCCAGCUCCACAGCGCCAGCCUCACAGCGCCAGCUUCACAGCUCCAGCUCCACAGCGCCAGCCUCACAGCGCCAGCUUCACAGCCUUUUGUAUUGAGAAUCAUUGGUGCAGGACCAGAGAAGGAGCAGUGAGAUACAGCACAGCUAGAGACAUCUGCAUCAGCCAGCCGUUCAGGACCAGAGAGAGAGGGAGCGCGAUUAUAGCAGCACGCAGACAAGAGACACGUCUGUGACAAACCUGAAAGGAAGGGAUACUCAGACAGUUUUUGGACUACGGUGGACUACAGUGUCUGUGCCUUAGUAAGGACUCAGUGAAUCACAGUCCUUAGCAGGUAGAUGGAUUCAGUGAUUCAGUGAUUCAGUGAUUCAGUGAUUCAGUGAUUCAGUGAUUCAGUGAUUCAGUGAUUCGGUGAUUCGGUGAUUCGGUGAUUCGGUGAUUCGGUGAUUCAGUGAUUCAGUGAUUCAGUGAUUCGGUGAUUCGGUGAUUCGGUGAUUCAGUGAUUCGGUGAUUCAGUGAUUCAGUGAUUCAGUGAUUCAGUGAUUUAGUGAUUCAGUGAUUCAGUGGUGCGUCUGUAUGGGAUGUGGUGAACUACAGCGUUGCCCUAGUAGGAUCCUCGGAAGUCAGACGUUGUGCGGAGGGUUUUGCUAAUCCCUUGGAUUAACCUUUCAGACUUCAAGAAGAGAAAAGAGGAGUGAGGAUUCAGUGUCACUCUGUCCCCUCAUCGUGACUACAAACGCCUUUUCUAAGGUGGAGUUUUCAUCAACCUUUCAUAGUGACUGAAGAGGACGAGAUAGAAGAUAUGGAUUCCUACAUAUCUAGCUAAAUCAUCUGAUGGUUUCAGUGUGGUAAUUUACUUUCUUUUUUUUUUUGAAAUGUAAACCUCAUGCGUUUCUUUUCUGUCCUCCCAUUCUUGAAUUUAGUAACAUACUCUGUACGCGUUACUAGGGCUGUACAAGUUAGACAUGAAUCCUUAUUUUAAAGGUAAGAGAUACGUUCACACUGGUCAGAUUUAAAGAUUCAGCACAUAAAGAUAAAGGCUGAAAUGUCAUGACAAACGAUGGCAGUUUUUUUGUAGUAACCUAACAAAAAAAAAAUACAGAGAAAACACAAUGAAACUCAGACAGUUCCCGAAGAAACACGAGAUCACUAACGUCCCUCCAGGCAGAGCCUUUAAGACACCGAAACGAGAUCACUAACGUCCCUUCAGGCAGAGCCUCCAGGCAGAGCCUCCAGGCAGAGCCUCCAGGCAGAGCCUUUAAGACACCGAAACGAGAUCACUAACGUCCCUUCAGGCAGAGCCUCCAGGCAGAGCCUCCAGGCAGAGCCUUUAAGACUCCGAAACGAGAUCACUAACGUCCCUUCAGGCAGAGCCUCCAGGCAGAGCCUCCAGGCAGAGCCUUUAAGACACCGAAACGAGAUCACUAACGUCCCUUCAGGCAGAGCCUCCAGGCAGAGCCUCCAGGCAGAGCCUCCAGGCAGAGCCUUUAAGACUCCGAAACGAGAUCACUAACGUCCCUUCAGGCAGAGCCUCCAGGCAGAGCCUCCAGGCAGAGCCUCCAGGCAGAGCCUUUAAGACUCCGAAACGAGAUCACUAACGUCCCUUCAGGCAGAGCCUCCAGGCAGAGCCUCCAGGCAGAGCCUCCAGGCAGAGCCUUUAAGACACCGAAACGAGAUCACUAACGUCCCUUCAGGCAGAGCCUCCAGGCAGAGCCUCCAGGCAGAGCCUCCAGGCAGAGCCUUUAAGACACCGAAACGAGAUCACUAACGUCCCGUCAGGCAGAGCCUCCAGGCAGAGCCUCCAGGCAGAGCCUCCAGGCAGAGCCUUUAAGACACCGAAACGAGACGAAGGGACAGUGGAGAGUACCAACAGAAGCUGAAAGAAAAGCACAGAAGCUGAAUGAAAAGCUCAGAAGCUGAAUGAAAAUCACAGAAACUGAAUGAAAAGCUCAGAAGCUGAAUGAAAAGCUCAGAAGCUGAAUGAAAAGCUCAGAAGCUGAAUGAAAAGCUCAGAAGCUGAAUGAAAAGCACAGAAGCUGAAUGAAAAGCUCAGAAGCUGAAUGAAAAGCACAGAAGCUGAAUGAAAAGCACAGAAGCUGAAUGAAAAGCUGAGAGGAAAAACACGGAAGUUGGCUUUAUUGGUACUUUGCUAAACAUGUCUUUCUUCGAGGAGGGAUUCUUUUCAAAUAUCCACUAAUGGAUGGGUGAUGGACAUGGAUUGUCUGACCAUUUCUCAUCUCUAAUGGAGAUCCUCAUCACUGACACUUCGUUGAACUAAAGAGGACCCAGCGUCUGAGGCCUGAGGACAGUUGAGUCAGCUUGGUGCUGGCCACACGACUCUACCACAGUGGAUCUCAGAUAUCCUCAUCAUUGGCACCUAACAAACUAACCUACGGAGUCUGUGCAGAAACAAACUAACCUACGGAGUCUGUGAAGAAACAAACUAACCUACGGAGUCUGUGCAGAAACAAACUAACCUACGGAGUCUGUGCAGAAACAAACUAACCUACGGAGUCUGUGCAGAAACAAACUAACCUACGGAGUCUGUGCAGAAACAAACUAGCCUACGGAGUCUGUGCAGAAACAAACUAACCUACGGAGUCUGUGCAGAAACAAACUAGCCUACGGAGUCUGUGCAGAAACAAACUAACCUACGGAGUCUGUGCAGAAACAAACUAGCCUACGGAGUCUGUGCAGAAACAAACUAACCUACGGAGUCUGUGCAGAAACAAACUAACCUACGGAGUCUGUGCAGAAACAAACUAACCUACGGAGUCUGUGCAGAAACAAACUAGCCUACGGAGUCUGUGCAGAAACAAACUAACCUACGGAGUCUGUGCAGAAACAAACUAACCUACGGAGUCUGUGCAGAAACAAACUAACCUACGGAGUCUGUGCAGAAACAAACUAACCUACGGAGUCUGUGCAGAAACAAACUAACCUACGGAGUCUGUGCAGA